CGGGGUGGAGUAAUGUCUGGGAAACUGCCUGAUGGAGGGGGAUAACUGCUGGAAACGGUAGCUAAUACCGCAUAACGUCGCAAGACCAAAGAGGGGGACCUUCGGGCCUCUUGCCAUCGGAUGUGCCCAGAUGGGAUUAGCUAGUAGGUGGGGUAACGGCUCACCUAGGCGACGAUCCCUAGCUGGUCUGAGAGGAUGGCCAGCCACACUGGAACUGAGACACGGUCAAG
rnacentral:rRNA from 1 species